CAGUGCAGCACAUAAGGUGAACCGCGAAUGGCUCAUUAAAUCAGUUAUGGUUCCUUAGAUCGUACUUUCCUACUUGGAUAACUGUGGUAAUUCUAGAGCUAAUACAUGCAACCGAGCUCCGACCUUGCGGAAAGAGCGCUUUUAUUAGAUCAAGACCAAUCGGGCCUUCGGGUCCGUCCACUUGGUGACUCUGAAUAACUUUGGGCUGAUCGCACGGUCUCGCACCGGCGACGCAUCUUUCAAAUGUCUGCCUUAUCAACUGUCGAUGGUAGGUUCUGCGCCUACCAUGGUCGUAACGGGUAACGGGGAAUCAGGGUUCGAUUCCGGAGAGGGAGCCUGAGAAACGGCUACCACAUCCAAGGAAGGCAGCAGGCGCGCAAAUUACCCACUCCCGGCACGGGGAGGUAGUGACGAAAAAUAACAAUACGGGACUCAUCCGAGGCCCCGUAAUUGGAAUGAGUACACUUUAAAUCCUUUAACGAGUAUCUAUUGGAGGGCAAGUCUGGUGCCAGCAGCCGCGGUAAUUCCAGCUCCAAUAGCGUAUAUUAAAGUUGUUGCGGUUAAAAAGCUCGUAGUUGGACUUGGGUCUCGGGCAGUCGGUUCACUUGCCGGUGUUACACUGACUGGUCCGGACGUCCUGCCGGUUCGUCCUCGGUGCUCUUUACUGAGUGUCUUGGGUGGCCGGCACGUUUACUUUGAACAAAUUAGAGUGCUUAAAGCAGGCAGUUCGCCUGAAUACUGGUGCAUGGAAUAAUGGAAUAGGACCUCGGUUCUAUUUUGUUGGUUUUCGGAACUUGAGGUAAUGAUUAAUAGAGACGGACGGGGGCAUUCGUAUUGCGACGUUAGAGGUGAAAUUCUUGGAUCGUCGCAAGACGAACUAGUGCGAAGCAUUUGCCAAGAAUGUUUUUCAUUAAUCAAGAACGAAAGUUAGAGGUU
rnacentral:rRNA from 1 species